rfam:Dichanthelium oligosanthes cultivar Kellogg 1175 unplaced genomic scaffold Do_version_2_scaffold2490, whole genome shotgun sequence.
GAUAUACUCCCUCCGUUCUAAAAUGUAGUUCACUUUGGGUAUGUAUCUAGACAUAUAUAUAUGUCUAGAUACAUACCCAAAGUGAACUACAUUUUGGAACGGAGGGAGUAUUUG